UUAGAUCGUACACACAUUUACUUGGAUAACUGUGGUAAUUCUAGAGCUAAUACAUGCAAACAGAGCUCCGACCGGAGACGGAAGGAGCGCUUUUAUUAGAACAAAACCGAUCGGUGGCGGAUUUAUCCGUCAUCGCACAAUUUGAUGAAUCUGAAUAACUUUAAGCUGAUCGCACGGUCUCGCACCGGCGACGCAUCUUUCAAAUGUCUGCCUUAUCAACUGUCGAUGGUAGGUUCUGCGCCUACCAUGGUUGUAACGGGUAACGGGGAAUCAGGGUUCGAUUCCGGAGAGGGAGCCUGAGAAACGGCUACCACAUCCAAGGAAGGCAGCAGGCGCGCAAAUUACCCACUCCCGGCACGGGGAGGUAGUGACGAAAAAUAACGAUACGGGACUCAUCCGAGGCCCCGUAAUCGGAAUGAGUACACUCUAAACCCUUUAACGAGGAUCAAUUGGAGGGCAAGUCUGGUGCCAGCAGCCGCGGUAAUUCCAGUUCCAAUAGCGUAUAUUAAAGUUGUUGCGGUUAAAAAGCUCGUAGUCGAAUUUGUGUCUCGCACCGCCGGUUCAUCGUUCGCGGUGUUAACUGGCGUGCCGUGGGACGUCCUGCCGGUGGGUUUAGCUCGUGAGGGCGACCCAACUCAAUCCUGCCACGGUGCUCUUCAUUGAGUGUCGAGGUGGGCCGGCACGUUUACUUUGAACAAAUUAGAGUGCUUAAAGCAGGCUAAAUUUCGCCUGAAUACUAUGUGCAUGGAAUAAUGGAAUAGGACCUCGGUUCUAUUUUGUUGGUUUUCGGAACCCCGAGGUAAUGAUUAAUAGGAACGGAUGGGGGCAUUC
rnacentral:rRNA from 1 species